GGGGAAUUUUGGACAAUGGGCGAAAGCCUGAUCCAGCAAUGCCGCGUGUGUGAAGAAGGCCUUCGGGUUGUAAAGCACUUUUGUCCGGAAAGAAACCCUCUGGGUUAAUACCUCGGGGGGAUGACGGUACCGGAAGAAUAAGCACCGGCUAACUACGUGCCAGCAGCCGCGGUAAUACGUAGGGUGCAAGCGUUAAUCGGAAUUACUGGGCGUAAAGCGUGCGCAGGCGGUUUUGUAAGACGGAUGUGAAAUCCCCGGGCUUAACCUGGGAACUGCAUUCGUGACUGCAAGGCUAGAGUAUGGCAGAGGGGGGUAGAAUUCCACGUGUAGCAGUGAAAUGCGUAGAGAUGUGGAGGAAUACCGAUGGCGAAGGCAGCCCCCUGGGCCAAUACUGACGCUCAUGCACGAAAGCGUGGGGAGCAAACA
rnacentral:rRNA from 1 species